CAGUAGCCGCGGUAACACGAAGGGGGCUAGCGUUGCUCGGAAUCACUGGGCGUAAAGGGUGCGUAGGCGGGUCUUUAAGUCAGGGGUGAAAUCCUGGAGCUCAACUCCAGAACUGCCUUUGAUACUGAAGAUCUUGAGUUCGGGAGAGGUGAGUGGAACUGCGAGUGUAGAGGUGAAAUUCGUAGAUAUUCGCAAGAACACCAGUGGCGAAGGCGGCUCACUGGCCCGAUACUGACGCUGAGGCACGAAAGCGUGGGGAGCAAACAGGAUUAGAUACCCGCGUAGUCCCUGUCUCUUAUAC
rnacentral:rRNA from 1 species